rnacentral:rRNA from 1 species
CAGCCAGACUCCUACGGGAGGCAGCAGUGGGGAAUAUUGCACAAUGGGGGAAACCCUGAUGCAGCGACGCCGCGUGAGCGAUGAAGUAUUUCGGUAUGUAAAGCUCUAUCAGCAGGGAAGAAGAUGACGGUACCUGACUAAGAAGCCCCGGCUAACUACGUGCCAGCAGCCGCGGUAAUACGUAGGGGGCAAGCGUUAUCCGGAUUUACUGGGUGUAAAGGGAGCGUAGACGGCGGCGCAAGCCAGAUGUGAAAGCCCGGGGCGCAACUCCGGGACUGCAUUUGGAACUGUGUGGCUGGAGUGUCGGAGAGGCAGGCGGAAUUCCUAGUGUAGCGGUGAAAUGCGUAGAUAUCAGGAGGAACACCGGCGGCGAAGGCGGCCUGCUGGACCGCGACUGACGUUGAGGCUCGAAAGCGUGGGGAGCGAACAGGAUUAGAUACCCGCGUAAC